UGGGGAAUAUUGCACAAUGGGCGCAAGCCUGAUGCAGCCAUGCCGCGUGUGUGAAGAAGGCCUUCGGGUUGUAAAGCACUUUCAGCGAGGAGGAAGGUGGUGAACUUAAUACGUUCAUCAAUUGACGUUACUCGCAGAAGAAGCACCGGCUAACUCCGUGCCAGCAGCCGCGGUAAUACGGAGGGUGCAAGCGUUAAUCGGAAUUACUGGGCGUAAAGCGCACGCAGGCGGUUUGUUAAGUCAGAUGUGAAAUCCCCGGGCUCAACCUGGGAACUGCAUUUGAAACUGGCAAGCUAGAGUCUCGUAGAGGGGGGUAGAAUUCCAGGUGUAGCGGUGAAAUGCGUAGAGAUCUGGAGGAAUACCGGUGGCGAAGGCGGCCCCCUGGACGAAGACUGACGCUCAGGUGCGAAAAGCAUGGGGAGCAAACAGGAUUAGAUACCCUGGUAGUCCACGCUGUAAACGAUGUCGAUUUUGGAGGUUGUGCCCUUGAGGCGUGGCUUCCGGAGCUAACGCGUUAAAUCGACCGCCUGGGGAGUACGGCCGCAAGGUUAAAACUC
rnacentral:rRNA from 1 species